rnacentral:rRNA from 1 species
UACGGGGGGGGCAAGCGUUGUUCGGAAUUACUGGGCGUAAAGGGCUCGUAGGUGGCCAACUAAGUCAGACGUGAAAUCCCUCGGCUUAACCGGGGAACUGCGUCUGAUACUGGAUGGCUUGAGUGUCGGAGAGGGUAGCGGAAUUCCUGGUGUAGAGGUGAAAUUCGUAGAUAUCGGGAGGAACCCCAGUGGCGAAGGCGACUCCCUGGCCUGUUUCUUGACGCUGAGGCGCGAAAGCUAGGGGAGCAAACGGG